rnacentral:rRNA from 1 species
UGGGGAAUAUUGGACAAUGGGCGCAAGCCUGAUCCAGCCAUGCCGCGUGAGUGAUGAAGGCCCUAGGGUUGUAAAGCUCUUUCACCGGUGAAGAUAAUGACGGUAACCGGAGAAGAAGCCCCGGCUAACUUCGUGCCAGCAGCCGCGGUAAUACGAAGGGGGCUAGCGUUGUUCGGAUUUACUGGGCGUAAAGCGCACGUAGGCGGACUAUUAAGUCAGGGGUGAAAUCCCGGGGCUCAACCCCGGAACUGCCUUUGAUACUGGUAGUCUUGGGUUCGAGAGAGGUGAGUGGAAUUCCGAGUGUAGAGGUGAAAUUCGUAGAUAUUCGGAGGAACACCAGUGGCGAAGGCGGCUCACUGGCUCGAUACUGACGCUGAGGUGCGAAAGCGUGGGGAGCAAACAGG